rnacentral:rRNA from 1 species
UGGUGGGUAGUUUGACUGGGGCGGUCUCCUCCUAAAGAGUAACGGAGGAGCACGAAGGUUGGCUAAUCCUGGUCGGACAUCAGGAGGUUAGUGCAAUGGCAUAAGCCAGCUUGACUGCGAGCGUGACGGCGCGAGCAGGUGCGAAAGCAGGUCAUAGUGAUCCGGUGGUUCUGAAUGGAAGGGCCAUCGCUCAACGGAUAAAAGGUACUCCGGGGAUAACAGGCUGAUACCGCCCAAGAGUUCAUAUCGACGGCGGUGUUUGGCACCUCGAUGUCGGCUCAUCACAUCCUGGGGCUGAAGUAGGUCCCAAGGGUAUGGCUGUUCGCCAUUUAAAGUGGUACGCGAGCUGGGUUUAGAACGUCGUGAGACAGUUCGGUCCCUAUCUGCCGUGGGCGCUGGAGAACUGAGGGGGGCUGCUCCUAGUACGAGAGGACCGGAGUGGACGCAUCACUGGUGUUCGGGUUGUCAUGCCAAUGGCACUGCCCGGUAGCUAAAUGCGGAAGAGAUAAGUGCUGAAAGCAUCUAAGCACGAAACUUGCCCCGAGAUGAGUUCUCCCUGACUCCCUGAGAGUCCUGAAGGAACGUUGAAGACGACGACGUUGAUAGGCCGGGUGUGUAAGCGCAGCGAUGCGUUGAGCUAACCGGUACUAAUGAACCGUGAGG